AAGGGCACCACAAGAACGCGUGGAGCAUGUGGCUUAAUUUGACUCAACGCGGGAAAUCUUACCGGGUCCGGACACACUGAGGAUUGACAGACAAAUACACACACUUUUACGGUGUGUGCAUGAAAUAUGCUAGUUCUUUCAUGAUUAUGUGAUAGGUGGUGCAUGGCCGUUCUUAGUUCGUGGAGUGAUCUGUCUGCUUAAUUGCGUUUCACUAAAGGCACAUACACAUAAUAUUGAUGCGUUGUGUGUAUAAUUUAUAAUUAUACUCAUACACACAUAUUAUAUUGUGCUUUGAAAGCAACGAACGUGACCGCAACCUCUUGUUGCCUGUAUAUAUGUGUAUUUUAUACACACCACAGGCUAUUAUAAACUAGAGGGACCGCUGUUACUUUCUUUUAAACCAGAGGAAGGUUGCGGCAAUAACAGGUCUGUGAUGCCCUUAGAUGUUCCGGGCUGCACACGUGCUACAAUGAUCAUUGCAGUGCGCAUCUCAUUUUGUUAUACACUGCUUGUGCGUAUGUGCACCAUAUAUUUAUAUGUGUGUGUAUGUAUUGCACGCAGUAAAGCCUACUUCGAAAGUUGUGGGUAAUCAAUUUGAAGUAAUGAUUUCUCCAAAUAUAUACUGCACACUCAUAUACAGUGUCUUAUGUCCAUGAAAAUAUUUUAUAUUUUUGUGUGUGCAUUCGAUGCUCGUAUGUGCAAUUGUCAAUUCAUGGUGGGGACAGACCAUUGUUAAUUGUUGGUCUCGGUCUUAACUAGGAAUGCCUUGUACGGGUCUUUGGUUCAACAAACCACCCGGAAUACGUCCCUGCCCUUUGUACACACCGCCCGUCGCUCUUACCGAUGGACUUCUCUGUGAGUUUGAGGGACUGGAUUUUAUAUCUAUGGAAACUCAAACGAACAGUGUGGUCUAAAGG
rnacentral:rRNA from 1 species